GGGGCCGUGGCACCGAUAGAAACACAACGGCCCUGUUGAAGUUUAUUACUCUCUAUCGACAAUAUUUCCCCUUCGAAGCAUCCUCAUAGACGACUCACCAUGAUUACGAUUAACUAUUUACCUAAUUUCUGCCGCAGUCUCUUCUCAUCCCCUUAAUACAUCGUUUAUCAUCCCCUCAUAUCUCUAAGAUUUGACUAUCUUAUUAAAACAAUCAGGGAAAUAUAUUUAUUCUAUAGGCCGUGGCACCGAUAGAAACACAGCGGCCCUGUUGAAGUUUGUCCAUCUCUAUUAAAUAUUUCUCGUUAAAAGUUUCUUAGAAUGCCCUCACAUACAUCUAACUAUUACAAUGACCCAUAACUCUAAGCUAUACUGCAGUUUUAUCUUAUCCCCUUAAUACAUUGUUUAUCAUCCCCUCAUUUCUACAAGAUUUAACUAUUUUAUUAAAACAAUUAGGCAAAUAUUGCGGUUCUGUUCGAGUUUUAAACUUUCUAUCGCCGAUAUUUCUCAUUUUAAAUUUGUCUAUAAAUAAAUAAAGGUAAAAACCUAAAACAUUUUUUCGCCCCUCUAAAUUAUUUUAAAACAUCAUAAGCCGUGCUACCGAUAGAAACACAGCGGGCCUGUUGGAGUUUGUCAAUCUUUAUGAAUAUUUCUGCUUAUUAGUCUGUGAAGAUGCUCUCACAAAGUCCUAAUUAUUACGAUCAAUUAUAAACCUCUAAGCUCUGCCUCAGCCUUGAACAGUUCCUAAAUAUAUUGUUUUGCCAUCUCUUUUUCUCUUUGAAAGUAUCCUCACAGACGGCUCAUUAUUAUGAUACAGGAUAUAUGAUUAAAGGACAACUUAAAUAUAUCUUAUGUUGUGUUAGACUUAAUUAGUCACUUGAAUCACCCCACCUAGACCUCACCAGAUUUGCAUGACUCAUUUUUCUCGCUUCUUACUUCGAGAUUUCCUGGUAUCCCGGUGGUCUGUUUAACUCUGCAGUGUGCUUGUAAAUCGAUUCCUUUGGGACUCAGUCUUCAAACGCGGCGUUGUAUUUAAUCGCAUAAUUUUAAGUUAUAUAUUAAUCGUUUUUUAAUUCUAAUUUCGUCUUAUUUAAAAACAUUAAUUAUGUUUGAAACUAUCUUUAUAUAUUAUCGUGUAUUUUAGCUUAUAAAAAUAGAAAAUUAGAAAGGCAACAUUAUAAUCUUAUACAGACUAUUCUAAUUUGAAUAACAAUUGUUUGUUUUUCAUUCGAUAACCUACAAAAUGUACUAUUUUGUUUAAAAAUAACUAUAAUAAAAUAACAACAACACAAAAAUAUGUAAUCAUAAAGUAAAACCUAAUAUAAUCAGAUGAAU